GUAGCAUAAUCAUUUGGUUUUUAAUUAGGGUCUGGAAUGAAAGGUCAAACAAAUAUUAGUUUCUUAAUUGUAAGGAGAUAAUUUAAGGUUUAAGUAAAAACGCUUAAAUUAUUGUGGGACGAUAAGACCCUAAAAGCUUUAUCUUUAAAAAAUUUAUUUAUUUUUAGUUUUGAGUUUAAUCAAAAGAUUUGGCUGGGGUAGUAACUCUAAAAGUAUUAGGGUAGUUUAAAUAGUAUAAUUAGAUUAAGUCCCUUUAUAUUAAGGUUAUAUUUUUAGUUACUUUAGGGGUAACAGGGUAAUUAUUUUAUGGAGCUCUUAUCUACAAAAUAGAUUUCCACCUCGAUGUUGAAUUAAGGUUUCGACGUGAUGUAAAAGGUGCGCGCGGGGGUUUGUUCAACCUUUAAUUCCUU
rnacentral:rRNA from 1 species